rnacentral:rRNA from 1 species
UACGUAGGGUGCGAGCGUUGUCCGGAAUUAUUGGGCGUAAAGGGCUCGUAGGCGGUUUGUCGCGUCGGGAGUGAAAACUCAGGGCUUAACCCUGAGCCUGCUUCCGAUACGGGCAGACUAGAGGUAUGCAGGGGAGAACGGAAUUCCUGGUGUAGCGGUGAAAUGCGCAGAUAUCAGGAGGAACACCGGUGGCGAAGGCGGUUCUCUGGGCCUUACCUGACGCUGAGGAGCGAAAGCGUGGGGAGCGAACAGG